GCUGCGUGCGCGUUCAGCACAAAACAAAUGAGAUUAGGCUCCGCCUACCGCGAUCAUUUGAAGACAAAAAUAAGCCCUCAUUGACAUUCAUGAGCAUGAAGAUAUUCAUAAUCCGGCCUUUUCAUUGGCUAAGAGCGUCAUUAAUACGCGAUUUCCCCGAUUCUUUGUCAUCGAUACUAGUGGUAUCGUGUUACAGAAUUAAUUAUUCAUUUGACCUCAUUACGUCAUCUAAUUUAUUCAUUAUGAAACUUUUCUUUCCACACAAAAAUGGACCUACGAACACUCCGGUGAGUUGAGUUUGAAGAACAAGAAAAACAGUAGAGGUCUACCCGGUACCUAUGAUCAUAAGUGCAUGUAUCAUUUUGCAGAUUCUCAUCCAGGAUGAUGCAGCUCUACAAUUUCCAUGGAGGUGAUUGAUGAUGAUAAACAAUCGGUGAAGUAGGCCUAAUAGAACAGUGAUAGGACCACAAAGAGAAAUACAACCUGCAGCAGUUAUAUGAGACUGGUGUAACAGAUGUUUUCAUUCAAGAAAUCCAACAAAUUGAAGAGUGACUUAGCUUAGGAAGCACUUGAUAAAGAUGGAAAAGGUGUUUUUUUUUCAAGUCCAAUUUUUUUAAUUUUAUUAUCAUCACAACCCCAAAUUCAUGAAGUAUGAAAUUUCCUGUCGAUUUUCAUUAAAACUGGUUGCAAAAGGAGAAGCUAUAAACAUACAAACAUGGUGACCAUAAACGGGUCCUUCUCAGGUGAAAGGGGCACAGAACAAAUUAUUUAGGAUCACUUUUCUUGGGUAAAAGGGGGCAGUUAUUCGAGAAAGGGCACUUACAAGAAGGCGAGGGGGCACUUUUUAACACUUAAAACGGGCCCUCAGAUGAAAGGGCACAGAACACGUUCGGGGGCAUUUUUUGGUAAAAAUUUGCAUACAAGGAAGAGCACUUGGUAACACCUAAAACAGGUCCUCGUCAGGUGAAAGGGACACAGUACACGUUCGUGAGGGGGCAUUUUUCUUACAUAAAAUUAAAGGCACUUUUCAGUGCUUCAAAAAGUAGGGGGAACUGUGCCCCCCAGGAUCGCUGCCCCUGCAUACAAAAAACAUUUUCGUUCGAUUCAAAGUAUUAACAUACGCUUAAGAAAAAAAGUAAGGCUAAAUCCUCUGAUAAUGUGAUAUUUUUUCUGGCUAUUAAUAAAAUUCACAACUAACCAGAAAAUGCCUUCAUGUCUUUCAUUUGUAUUCAUAUAGUAUUUGUCAAAAUUUGGCAAAAUUCAAAUGAGAUGGAGAUCGAGAGAGAGAAAGAGUGAUGAGAAGGGGGUUGAAAAGAGAUGAGAAAGAAAUGGAGGGGCACAUAUGAAGAGAUAAUUUAGAGGGGGGGGGGGGGGGUAAGAGAGCACGAAUGGUGGGAAGUAGGAACAAAGGGGUGGAAGAGAAAUAAGACGAGAUUUAUGAAAACCAGGAGACAGAUAACAAGUGGGAAAAGAAGAAGGAAAUAUGUGUAGGAGAAAGGCGGCACCAAAAUAACGUGAGUGGGAAAAUUAUUAAAUGUAAAAACAGAGCAAGAAAUGCUGGAGAAUAGAGGGGACAGGAAACGUAUUAAACAUGAUAAACUGGGGCCCGUUUCAUCAUGAGUUACAAGUAUGGUAAUUGUGAUUGGUUAUACCCGUUACCAUCGUAGUUAACUACGAUGUUAACUGCUAUAACCAAUCAUAAUCUAGGUUACCACGGUAAUCACAAUAACAGAGAUGUUUAAAUAGCUGUAAUUCAUUAUGAAACGGACGCCAGAUGAAGAAAACAGGCACGGGGAUCCAUGAGGGGGCCGGCCCCUUACGUAUUAUACCUUGAACAAAAGAUUUUUUUUUUGCUUCUCGAAAUUUGUAACAAGAAAUGUACUCUAUUAGUGGUGACAGUUAUUUUUUUUCAAUAACCAUACUCAACCAGUGAAAAUUACCAUCAAAUUGUAAUAACCAUGUUCUGCCCCCACCCGCCCCCCCCCCCUAGAAAAAAAAAAGACUUUUGGGUCAGUGCAACAGCCCCCUUUGAUCCGUUCGGCGGCCUCUGCCGACUAUGUAGAGUCUAGAUUCAAUUAAAUUAUUUUAUUUUCCACUUUCAAUUUCAUAUUUACAAUUAUGAUACAAUUGACAAAGUAACAUAUAAUCACAAUUGAAGUACAUACAAAAAUUGACAACAUUAUAAAAUUACAAUAGACAAUGAUCAAAUCGAAAUAUAAAUGAUUGAAAGGGAGGGAGGGCCAACUGAAAAGCAGAGCUUGUAUAAUGUAGGCCCCCCUAAUAUUGAUUAAUUAAUAUUGAUUCUUCACAUUUGUUAAAAACUAAGAUUGCUGUAUAUCUUAACAUGUGACAAUUUGGGGAUGGCAAAAGCACAUGAGACCUCUUUAACUAAUCACGACUUGAAUACUACUCUUUUCAUCUUCCCUUUAUAGGCCUAUAAGACACAAUACAAACAAUAUGCUUUGUUUUUAAGUGAUAUCGAUUGUGAUAUCGAUACUUUAUUGAGCGCAAUGUAUCGUCUCAGAUUUGCGCUUGCUUGAUUCGCUGAAUCCUUCGCGUCACGAGCGCGUAACAAAAUGAAUACAUUAAUGAAUUUGCCAAGUUGACCUUUGUCAUUGCGCUGAUGUGCGUAUUGUCUAAUACACGUACAAAACCACAGUCGACGAGGGAGCAUCGUACGAAAUUAAUAUUAAUGAGGGCUUAUUUUAGCUUCUAAUGGAUUAAACAAAAUGGCGGUAGCUUCGGGGGCUUGGUUGCUGCCAUAGAGAUGUAUACUAACUACGCGUAUACAUCUCUAUGGUUGCUGCCCGCUUGUGUGUUGCUGCCCUCUACGUUCGUUGGAUCUAACUUUAGAUCUAUGACUACGCCUAGCUACGGAGUAUACCCAGUUGUUGUGUGUCCGGACAGGUUGUGUGUCCGGACGAUCAAUUUUAGAAAGUACGGUAUACCGUAUUAUGGAGUCGCCUGGAGCUUCAAUUCAGCAACGUCACAACGUUAAAGUGACAAGUCAUCAUGUUGUGGAGUGGUAUAGAGGUGGAUUAAUGUAUCCACCUCUAGCUCUAUGGAGUAGAGUUCUAAUCACAAAAUUUACCCAAAAUUCGAGCGGAGUAACCUUCCUUAUAUUUAGACUAGAGCAACACGGUCGUCAGAGUUAUUAAUAGAAUGUCUAUUGAUAACUCUGACGGUCGUCAGAUGGUCGUCAAGGUCAAGGCCCUAUGUUUAUAUAGGGCCUUGACGGUCGUGUGCUGCUGCCAUCUACGUUCGUGGAUCCAAAAUGCUCCGGG